AGUCGAGGGGCAGCAUGGUCUUAGCUUGCUAAGGCCGAUGGCGACCGGCGCACGGGUGAGUAACACGUAUCCAACCUGCCGUCUACUCUUGGACAGCCUUCUGAAAGGAAGAUUAAUACAAGAUGGCAUCAUGAGUCCGCAUGUUCACAUGAUUAAAGGUAUUCCGGUAGACGAUGGGGAUGCGUUCCAUUAGAUAGUAGGCGGGGUAACGGCCCACCUAGUCUUCGAUGGAUAGGGGUUCUGAGAGGAAGGUCCCCCACAUUGGAACUGAGACACGGUCCAAACUCCUACGGGAGGCAGCAGUGAGGAAUAUUGGUCAAUGGGCGAGAGCCUGAACCAGCCAAGUAGCGUGAAGGAUGACUGCCCUAUGGGUUGUAAACUUCUUUUAUAA
rnacentral:rRNA from 1 species